UACGUAGGGGGCAAGCGUUGUCCGGAUUUAUUGGGCGUAAAGAGCGUGUAGGCGGCCUUACAGGUCAGCUGUGAAAACUCGAGGCUCAACCUCGAGACGUCGGUUGAAACCGUAUGGCUAGAGUCCGGAAGAGGAGAGUGGAAUUCCCGGUGUAGCGGUGAAAUGCGCAGAUAUCGGGAAGAACACCCGUGGCGAAGGCGGCUCUCUGGGACGGUACUGACGCUGAGGCGCGAAAGCGUGGGGAGCAAACAGG
rnacentral:rRNA from 1 species